rnacentral:misc_RNA from 1 species
CAUGUGCUCAUCUUUAUCUUCUUUCCCCCCAAUAAAAAGACACUUUUAAGGCUCCUUUUUUCAGACAAACCAACAAAAUAUUCAAAAUUCUGUAAUGAAGACAACCAUUUCUUAUAAACUUUUGGCGGUACUGUAAACAGUACAAAAUUAGCUGCAAACCAUAUGGGCAAAUAACAUUAUUGCUGUACUGCCAUAUUCACUGCUGGGGAUACCGGCAUUUACCAUAGCUUGGAUCACUGAAGGUGACGAGUCCAGUGCCCUUGAAGUCGCAGUUCCAGUAGUUCCUUCCAUGCAUCUGAUAAUAUGCAUUCAUGGCAAAUGAUGCAUGUGCAUGGAGCUUGUCUGGUGCAAAACAAUUACCACUUUCAUAUAUCUCUCUGCAAUCCACUCCACCUGGUCCACAGCAGAAGUCCAACACAGCUUGAAGCACCUUCUCAUCUGCAUGGGGCUUAGCCACACACCAAACUGAAGGACCUCUUACUCCA